UACUUGUACCUGGUGGCGAGCGGCGGACGGGUGAGUAAUGCCUAGGAAUCUGCCUAGUAGUGGGGGAUAACGUCCGGAAACGGGCGCUAAUACCGCAUACGUCCUACGGGAGAAAGUGGGGGAUCUUCGGACCUCACGCUAUUAGAUGAGCCUAGGUCGGAUUAGCUAGGUGGUGAGGUAAUGGCUCACCAAUGCGACGAUCCGU
rnacentral:rRNA from 1 species